GAUUCGUACAUUUUCGCAAUUAAAUCGAUGCACGACUGUGUGCGUCGCUUCAAUUAGUUCAAUUAAGAUGUAUCCACUAACGUUCCACGACAAUUAUUCGCGCAUUUGUCGCGCGAAAAAUUCGAAAUGUCUAUUAAGAUACUUUCCUCUCUCGAUCUGCAUGAUAAACAGGGUGGGAUAUUUAUUUGGAAAAUAGAGGCAUGGGUAUUUCCAAGUUAUUGAUUUAAAGAAAAAAUUGAACUAUGUGUUUUUAUUGAAUGAAGUGGAACAUGGAGUGUAAAAAUGCAAGUUUUUGAACUGGCAAAUAUAAAAUUGUGCUCCCUUGGAAUAUUCUAUACCCUUUUACAUAGCUUUCUUCCACCUUGCAGUCUCCUCUCUCUUUUUUGACUCUUUGUCCCCGAGACUUUGAUGGAACGAACCCAACUCACCACCGCCAUAGGGUUUUCGUCCUUAUCUCGUCCGCGCGUUCGCGAAUAAAUCUGCGUGUCCGUUGCAAACGCGACUCGAUUAAUCAGGAACUGAAGGCACCCUUGUGGCCGCAUCCCUAAUUUGAAACACAGUGUCUCUUCGUUCGCUCAAGAUUGCAAAGUCCUGUCCCAAGAAUUCUUCCAGGCAACUUUAAAUGCCGCAAUAAAAUUACUCAAACGAGUACCUUGGACAUAGUCAAAUGCACCACGAUAAUUUCACAUAGCGAAAGCUGUUUCCAACCAAACGCGAUACAAGGGUGAAAUAAAAGUUUCCACGAAACAAACGAUGAGACGACUGGAAAAGAAUUGCGUGAGAUUUACGACAACGUUUACUGACAUAAAGAAAACCUCUUACAGUAGUUGAGUUUACAUACAAUAAUUCUUGUAUUUUUUUUUGUGUGGAAAUGGUGGAGAGGGGGGAAGUGUAUAUGUAUGCACGCACGAAUCGCAAAGUACGCAGAGUAACAUCGAAAUAACACGGGAUAAUCGACGUCGUCGCUUCUCUUCGAUAAUGCUGAAGCGAGGGGAAAUGUCACGAAGAGAAAUCGACUUUGCAAAGUUACAAACUUAAUACGAUAAACAAUGGUGGGGGCUUGAAUCGGCUCUGGGGAGCUUUCACGGUGUAAAAAUACGAUAUCACAAUCCAGAAUAAAUUUACACGCGGAUUUCGCGGUGAUGUGUAAUAAAAUAAAGACCAAUCGACACCCCGUACGCAUCGAGAGAGACUAGAAUGAUUAAGAAUAAAUCGACGAUUGAAAAAUCUUACAAACUUAUGUGCUUAAUAACGAUUAAUCAGUGAUAAUACAAGUAUUAAUCAUAUAAUAAUAUAAUAAUAAUUAUUAUUUUCGAUAUAAUUACGAUGAUAGGGCGAUGUUGGAGAAGGGGGGGGGGUCUUUCUUUUUUUGUCGUUUUUAUUGAAACGAC